AUGGUGUCAUUCUGUGACCAUCCAGCCAAACUCUCAGUAGGGAUAGAGGGAGCAUCCAAGGUGCUGCCUGUGGUCCAUCUCCCACUACUCCCAUGGGUGCACAACUUGGGAAGGAGAAGGAGAAACUCCCUGCUCCCAUCACUCAGGUGGAGAGGUGACUUUGGACAAUGCUUUGCAACUGUAGUUGAAGGCAAUGAGUACACUAAUGAGGAGAGUCAGAAAAAUUAUUGCUGAAUGGAUAACUGUUAAAAUAUUUCUCAUAAUUCUUUGUGUGUUUUCAUGAAUACUUUUUUUUUCUUCAUUGGCACAUUUUAUUGCUUUUCUGUUUAGAGGUUACCUUAUGGUGGACCUUUAGUAUCCCUUAGGCUUUACAAACAAGACUGUGUAUCAACAGCUUAUGUGAUAUAGUGACACACGUCAGUAAGUAUUCUCUGUUUUAAAUUCAUUGCAGUGAAUGGAUCUCAUAAUGUUAACAAAUCUUUUUACAUAUCAUCCUGAAAUGUCUAUUCGACUUAAAAAGCAUGGUUUAGACACUGAGCAAUGGGUAAUGAGAUCAUAGCCAGCAUUAUAAUUUGAAGAAUUAUAGAGUUUUAAGGGGGAAUGUGUUUUCCUGCUGUCAAUAUAUGUUGUAAAUCCUAAAUCAGACAAUGCUGCAGUGAUAUCAAGGCACAACAAUCUAAAGGUGUGUAGCGGAAAUGCUAAGUCAUGGCCUGAACCAGUGACUGGGCACCUGGUGGGAAGGCAGGGCCUACCCAGGGGAGCUUAGGUGCAUGCAAUGAAUCUGAGUGACUGGAAGGGGUAGAGCCAGGAUCCACCCCUUCACAGACCUCAUUUAAGGGUUGACAGUGGAGGUGAGGGCAUCUUCCCUGCCCACCUGCGGCCUUCUAAAGGUAAGUAGCUCUUUUCCUUCAUUUCUGUGUUCACAGCUGUUGCAUUUGGGCUUGUCCUAAUUUGCUGCAGCUGAAGACUUUGCUACCCUGCUAUUAUUGCUGUACCUUCCAUCACAUUAUAGCAUUACAAGGUGGUAUAAAAAUAUCAAGAGUAGGAAGAGGAUGGGCUAUGAAGUACUUCUUUGCACUUCCCAGGGUUUGCACAUGUGGUCAAGGUAAAUUUCAAACACGCUGCAUUGUAAUUGUUCUAUAUUUAGUUGCACAACUGCUAGAAAAUUCAGUCUUCACUCUGUCAUACAAAUAGAUUGGCUUGUGGAAAUGCUCAUCAUUUUAAUCCCAGCAUGCUAAUGGCCCCUGUGUGAAUAUAGACUUCUCAAUUAAACUAAAGUAAUUUGAGAAAAGGACAAGUCUCCCAGGCUCAAGUAAAGGUUUCAGUAACAACAGCAGAUUCAGCUGUCUAUUCUUGAAGUGUUUUCCACUGGAUGGUGCAUUGCUGGGACUUCUAGUUCUACACAGAUUCUUUGCUUAGAUGCAAUCCAAAAAGUGCAUGUUCUAGUAAGGAACUCAUGAAAUAGUCUGCAACAUGGCUAUGCUCCUGAAAGUGCAUCUGUACAUUCCCUAGAGUUAAAUUUCUGCAGUCCCUUGGAGCCCUGAUGCUUUUUCUGGGAUCUCUUUUGAUGCAGGUCUGUGCCACCUUCUUUCUAAGAGAGCUUCAGAUCUACAGGAUAUUUUAAGGGCUAGGACAAAAUGUGUGUCUCUAGCCAAAGAAUAGGAAUCGUAAAUGGGUGAAAUGACCCCACAUUAAUACAACCCAUGUAGCCUUAUCUAUUUACAGUGUUUUAUAUUUCUAACUACUGGAUAUUUAUAAAAAGUCACCAUCUCUAUUGGCAUUUGACAAAGGACACAGUUAAAUGGACCUGGCAUUUUCUUAUUCAUGUAGUUGAGCUACUUGAAUUAAGGUUCAGGCAUCAUAUGAUACUGCAUGUUUUAUGGAUAAAAAUGAUCUGACUCCUGCAUAGACACCAAGAUCCAGCACUUCUUCCAGAGAUAAUUGCCUUUUUUUUUUUUUUUUUUUUUUUUUUUUUACAAAUACAAAAACAUAUUUUCUAACUCUUCAGUGAUCACCUUAAUUUUAGUGCUUUGUCUCACAUAGGAUUGUGUCUUCUUUACAGGUCUUUACAGAUGUGCUUUCCAGAAUACGUGAGAAUUUUGUAUUAAUCAUGUUUUUCUCUGAAUUGUGCCACAUUAUUUUCUCCCUUUCUUUGGUUUGUUCAAUUUACGCCAUAAAUAUUAUUAACCCACAGAGAUUUGUUUCUACUUUCUUUAGUUAAUUAAAGACACUGUUGGAUUUAUCUUGUGCUACCACCAGGAGGGCACAAGUGAAAUAUUGUCUUACUAGAUGGUUCAUUCAUUAGCAUAAAAUAAUCAGUGCUUUUGAAUACCAGCAUCUCAGUAUAUCAGAUUUGGGUUUUUGUGAUCUCAUCUAGGAAGUAGAAGCAGCAGUAGAAGGAUAAAGAAGAGAGACAGAAUGAGGGGGAAAAAGAAAGGGAGCAUUCAGCAUAGGUGUUCAAAUUAGCAGGUUUCCAUAAGAAAACGCACCGGGCACUUGACAAAAAGGAGAGUGCACAAGUUAAACUUGCCUGGAGGCAUAUCUAACUGGCACCUAGGACAGAACACAGUAGUAAGCUAAAUUAAUUCCCUACUCUGCUACUAACAGAGAUUUAAUAAUUACAAGACCAUUCAUUCUAGCAUAUGAUUUCUCCCCUUGGGGGGGAGGGGGGUGGCUGGAAGAAAUAAACAAACUACCAUAUGCUCCUACCA
rnacentral:lncRNA from 1 species